rnacentral:rRNA from 1 species
CGGUUAAGUUAGAAAGGGCGCACGGUGGAUGCCUUGGCACUAGGAGCCGAUGAAGGACGGGACGAACACCGAUAUGCUUCGGGGAGCUGUAAGCAAGCUUUGAUCCGGAGAUUUCCGAAUGGGGGAAACCCACCACUCGUAAUGGAGUGGUAUCCAUAUCUGAAUACAUAGGAUAUGAGAAGGCAGACCCGGGGAACUGAAACAUCUAAGUACCCGGAGGAAGAGAAAGCAAAUGCGAUUCCCUGAGUAGCGGCGAGCCGAAACGGGACCAGCCCAAACCAAGAGGCUUGCCUCUUGGGUUGUAGGACACUCUGUACGGAGUUACAAAGGAACGAGGUAGAUGAAGAGGUCUGGAAAGGCCCGCCAUAGGAGGUAACAGCCCUGUAGUCAAAACUUCGUUCUCUCCUGAGUGGAUCCUGAGGUACGGCGGAACACGUGAAAUUCCGUCGGAAUCCGGGAGGACCAUCUCCCAAGGCUAAAUACUCCCUAGUGACCGAUAGUGAACCAGUACCGUGAGGGAAAGGUGAAAAGCACCCCGGAAGGGGAGUGAAAGAGAUCCUGAAACCGUGUGCCUACAAGUAGUCAGAGCCCGUUAACGGGUGAUGGCGUGCCUUUUGUAGAAUGAACCGGCGAGUUACGAUCCCGUGCAAGGUUAAGCAGAAGAUGCGGAGCCGCAGCGAAAGCGAGUCUGAAUAGGGCGAAUUGAGUACGUGGUCGUAGACCCGAAACCAGUGAUCUACCCAUGUCCAGGGUGAAGUUCAGGUAACACUGAAUGGAGGCCCGAACCCACGCACGUUGAAAAGUGCGGGGAUGAGGUGUGGGGUAGGGGUGAAAUGCCAAUCGAACCUGGAGAUAGCUGGUUCUCUCCGAAAUAGCUUUAGGGCUAGCCUCAAGGUAAGAGUCUCGGAGGUAGAGCACUGAUGGACUAGGGGCCCCUACCGGGUUACCGAAUUCAGUCAAACUCCGAAUGCCGAUGACUUAUCCUUGGGAGUCAGACUGCGAGUGAUAAGAUCCGUAGUCGAAAGGGAAACAGCCCAGACCGCCAGCUAAGGUCCCAAAGUAUACGUUAAGUGGAAAAGGAUGUGGAGUUGCUUAGACAACCAGGAUGUUGGCUUAGAAGCAGCCACCAUUAAAGAGUGCGUAAUAGCUCACUGGUCGAGUGACUCUGCGCCGAAAAUGUACCGGGGCUAAACGUAUCACCGAAGCUGCGGACUGUUCUUCGAACAGUGGUAGGAGAGCGUUCUAAGGGCUGUGAAGCAAGACCGGAAGGACUUGUGGAGCGCUUAGAAGUGAGAAUGCCGGUAUGAGUAGCGAAAGAGGGGUGAGAAUCCCCUCCACCGAAUGCCUAAGGUUUCCUGAGGAAGGCUCGUCCGCUCAGGGUUAGUCGGGACCUAAGCCGAGGCCGAAAGGCGUAGGCGAUGGACAACAGGUUGAUAUUCCUGUACCACCUCCUCACCAUUUGAGCAAUGGGGGGACGCAGGAGGAUAGGGUAAGCGCGGUAUUGGAUAUCCGCGUCCAAGCAGUUAGGCUGGGAAAUAGGCAAAUCCGUUUCCCGUGAAGGCUGAGCUGUGAUGGCGAGCGAAUUAUAGUAGCGAAGUUCCUGAUUCCACACUGCCAAGAAAAGCCUCUAGCGAGGUGAGAGGUGCCCGUACCGCAAACCGACACAGGUAGGCGAGGAGAGAAUCCUAAGGUGAUCGAGAGAACUCUCGUUAAGGAACUCGGCAAAAUGACCCCGUAACUUCGGGAGAAGGGGUGCUCUGUUAGGGUGCAAGCCCGAGAGAGCCGCAGUGAAUAGGCCCAGGCGACUGUUUAGCAAAAACACAGGUCUCUGCGAAGCCGUAAGGCGAAGUAUAGGGGCUGACGCCUGCCCGGUGCUGGAAGGUUAAGAGGAGCGCUUAGCGUAAGCGAAGGUGCGAAUUGAAGCCCCAGUAAACGGCGGCCGUAACUAUAACGGUCCUAAGGUAGCGAAAUUCCUUGUCGGGUAAGUUCCGACCCGCACGAAAGGCGCAACGAUCUGGGCACUGUCUCAACGAGAGACUCGGUGAAAUUAUAGUACCUGUGAAGAUGCAGGUUACCCGCGACAGGACGGAAAGACCCCGUGGAGCUUUACUGCAGCCUGAUAUUGAAUGUUGGUACAGCUUGUACAGGAUAGGUAGGAGCCUUGGAAACCGGAGCGCCAGCUUCGGUGGAGGCAUCGGUGGGAUACUACCCUGGCUGUAUUGACCUUCUAACCCGCCGCCCUUAUCGGGCGGGGAGACAGUGUCAGGUGGGCAGUUUGACUGGGGCGGUCGCCUCCUAAAAGGUAACGGAGGCGCCCAAAGGUUCCCUCAGAAUGGUUGGAAAUCAUUCGCAGAGUGUAAAGGCACAAGGGAGCUUGACUGCGAGACCUACAAGUCGAGCAGGGACGAAAGUCGGGCUUAGUGAUCCGGUGGUUCCGCAUGGAAGGGCCAUCGCUCAACGGAUAAAAGCUACCCCGGGGAUAACAGGCUUAUCUCCCCCAAGAGUCCACAUCGACGGGGAGGUUUGGCACCUCGAUGUCGGCUCAUCGCAUCCUGGGGCUGUAGUCGGUCCCAAGGGUUGGGCUGUUCGCCCAUUAAAGCGGUACGCGAGCUGGGUUCAGAACGUCGUGAGACAGUUCGGUCCCUAUCCGUCGCGGGCGCAGGAAAUUUGAGAGGAGCUGUCCUUAGUACGAGAGGACCGGGAUGGACGCACCGCUGGUGUACCAGUUGUUCUGCCAAGGGCAUCGCUGGGUAGCUAUGUGCGGACGGGAUAAGUGCUGAAAGCAUCUAAGCAUGAAGCCCCCCUCAAGAUGAGAUUUCCCAUUCCGCAAGGAAGUAAGAUCCCUGAAAGAUGAUCAGGUUGAUAGGUCUGAGGUGGAAGUGUGGCGACACAUGGAGCUGACAGAUACUAAUCGAUCGAGGACUUAACCAAUUU